CCCGCUGAACUUAAGCAUAUCAAUAAGCGGAGGAAAAGAAACUAACAAGGAUUCCCCUAGUAACUGCGAGUGAAGCGGGAAAAGCUCAUAUUUAAAAUCUGGCGGUCCUUGUGGCUGUCCGAGUUGUAAUCUAGAGAAGAGCUAUCCGCGCUGGACCGUGUACAAGUCUCCUGGAGAUGGAGCGUCAUAGAGGGUGAGAAUCCCGUCUUUGACACGGACUGCCAGGGCUUAUGUGAUACGCUCUCGAAGAGUCGAGUUGUUUGAGACAUGCAGCUCAAAAUGGGUGGUAAAUUCCAUCUAAAGCUAAAUAUUGGCGAGAGACCGAUAGCGAACAAGUACCGUGAGGGAAAGAUGAAAAGAACUUUGGAAAGAGAGUUAAACAGUACGUGAAAUUGUUGAAAGGGAAACGCUUAAAGUCAGUCGCGUCGUCCGGGGAUCAACCUUGCAUUUCUUUUGCUGGGCGUACUUUCCGGUCGACGGGUCAGCAUCAAUUUUGACCGUUGGAUAAAGCCUUCGGGAAUGUGGCAUCCUCGGAUGUGUUAUAGCCCGUGGUCGCAUACAACGGUUGGGAUUGAGGAACUCAGCACGCCGAAAGGCCGGGUUUGUACUCCACGUUCGUGCUUAGGAUGCUGGCAUAAUGGCUUUAAUCGACCCGUCUUGAAACACGG
rnacentral:rRNA from 1 species